rnacentral:lncRNA from 12 species
GUUUGCCUCUGCCUAGCACAAGCUAUUAAAUACAGUGCUGUGCCUUUUAGAAAACUUUUACUUUACAUGAGAGCCAAAAGGUAAAUCUGUACAAAAUUGGACUAGGAGUUGAGAUAUGAUUUUGAAAUGGGAAAAUACAUUAGCUCAAAUUCUGACAAAUGGGAAUCUUUUUUGAAAAAAAUAGAAAAUUAAUUUGGGAAAUUUUUCUGAUUUUUUUA